AGGAUAAACGCUGGCGGCGUGCCUAACACAUGCAAGUCGAACGCUCUUUUGCUCGCAAGAGCCAGAGGGAGUGGCGGACGGGUGAGUAACACAUGGGUAACCUACCCCCCAGUGAGGAAUACCGGCGAGAAAUCGCCGACAAGACCGCAUAGGCUCGGUCCGGUGAAGCGGAGCGAGCAAAGUCUCGCAAGAGACGCUGAGGGAUGGGCCUGUGGCCGAUUAGCUAGUUGGUAAGGUAAAGGCUUACCAAGGCGACGAUCGGUAGCUGGUCUGAGAGGACGAACAGCCACACUGGGAUUGAGAACGGCCCAGACUCCUACGGGGGGCAGCAGUGAGGAAUUUUCCGCAAUGGACGCAAGUCUGACGGAGCAACGCCGCGUGCAGGAGGACGCUUUUCGGAGUGUAAACUGCUUUUCUGUGGGACGAGAGUGGACGGUACCACAGGAAGAAGCCCCGGCUAACUACGUGCCAGCAGCCGC
rnacentral:rRNA from 1 species